AUGCGCCAUGAUGGUUACCAUCUUUCGGGUCUGAUCCUGAUGAAAACCUUACGCUGAGCGCAU
rfam:Ascaris lumbricoides genome assembly, scaffold: ALTE_scaffold0002035